rnacentral:rRNA from 1 species
UGAGACCGGCGCACGGGUGCGUAACGCGUAUGCAAUCUACCUUUUACAGGGGAAUAGCCCAGAGAAAUUUGGAUUAAUGCCCCAUAGUAUAGUUUUUUCGCAUGAAGAGAUUAUUAAAGUUCCAACGGUAAAAGAUGAGCAUGCGUCCCAUUAGCUAGAUGGUAAGGUAACGGCUUACCAUGGCGACGAUGGGUAGGGGUCCUGAGAGGGAGAUCCCCCACACUGGUACUGAGACACGGACCAGACUCCUACGGGAGGCAGCAGUGAGGAAUAUUGGUCAAUGGACGCAAGUCUGAACCAGCCAUGCCGCGUGCAGGAUGACGGUCCUAUGGAUUGUAAACUGCUUUUGUACGAGAAGAAACACUCCAACGUGUUGGAGCUUGACGGUAUCGUAAGAAUAAGGAUCGGCUAACUCCGUGCCAGCAGCCGCGGUAAUACGGAGGAUCCAAGCGUUAUCCGGAAUCAUUGGGUUUAAAGGGUCCGUAGGCGGUCAGAUAAGUCAGUGGUGAAAGCCCAUCGCUCAACGGUGGA